UGUGUGUGUAUGUCUGUGUGUAUGCCAGUAUGUCUGUGUGUGUGUGUCAGUGUGUGUGUGUGUGUAUGCCAGUAUGUCUGUGUGUGUGUGUGUCAGUAUGUCUGUGUGUAUGCCAGUAUGUCUGUGUGUAUGCCAGUAUGUCUCUGUGUGUGUGUGUGUCAGUAUGUCUGUGUGUAUGCCAGUAUGUCUGUGUGUGUAUGUCAGUGUGUGUGUGUGUGUGUGUCAGUAUGUCUGUGUGUAUGCCAGUAUGUCUGUGUGUGUGUAUGCCAGUAUGUCUGUGUGUGUGUGUGUGUGUCAGUAUGUCUGUGUGUAUGCCAGUAUGUCUGUGUGUGUGUAUGUGGGUAUGUCUCUGUGUGUGUGUGUACGUGUGUGUCAGUAUGUCUGCCAGGAUAUAUUUGUGUGUCAGUGUAUGUGUGUGUCAGUAUGUAUCUGUGAAUGUUUUAAUGUCUGUCUGUGUGUAUGUGCCAGUACGUCUGUCUGUGUGUAUGUCAGUAUGUCUGUGUGUGUGUGUGUCAGUCAGUAUGUCUGUCAGUGUAUGUGUCUGUGUGUGUAUGUAUGUAUGUAUGUCUGUGUGUGUGU